rnacentral:rRNA from 1 species
AUUGAACGCUGGCGGCAUGCUUUACACAUGCAAGUCGAACGGUAACAGGCCUUCGGGUGCUGACGAGUGGCGAACGGGUGAGUAAUGCAUCGGAACGUGCCCAAUCGUGGGGGAUAACGUAGCGAAAGUUACGCUAAUACCGCAUAAGCCCUGAGGGGGAAAGUGGGGGACCGCAAGGCCUCACGCGAAUGGAGCGGCCGAUGUCAGAUUAGCUAGUUGGUGGGGUAAAGCCCACAAGGCGACGAUCUGUAGCGGGUCUGAGAGGAUGAUCCGCCACACUGGGACUGAGACACGGCCCAGACUCCUACGGGAGGUAGCAGUGAGGAAUUUUGGACAAUGGGCGCAAGCCUGAUCCAGCCAUGCCGCGUGCGGGACGAAGG